rnacentral:rRNA from 1 species
UACGAAGGGUGCAAGCGUUACUCGGAAUUACUGGGCGUAAAGCGUGCGUAGGUGGUGGUUUAAGUCUGCUGUGAAAGCCCUGGGCUCAACCUGGGAAUUGCAGUGGAUACUGGAUCACUAGAGUGUGGUAGAGGGAUGCGGAAUUUCUGGUGUAGCAGUGAAAUGCGUAGAGAUCAGAAGGAACAUCCGUGGCGAAGGCGGCAUCCUGGGCCAACACUGACACUGAGGCACGAAAGCGUGGGGAGCAAACAGGAUUAGAUACCCCGGUAGUCC